UUAAACGGCCGCGGUAUUUUGACCGUGCAAAGGUAGCGCAAUCACUUGUCUUUUAAAUGAAGACCUGUAUGAAUGGUGAAACGAGGGCUUAACUGUCUCCCUCAUCUGGUCAAUGAAAUUGAUCUACCCGUGCAGAAGCGGGUAUAAAUAUACAAGACGAGAAGACCCUAUGGAGCUUAAGACAAAAAACCAACUAUGUUAAAAGGAAAGAAACUAAACCAAACAGCACUGAUUUAAGUCUUCGGUUGGGGCGACCACGGGAGAAAAUAGAUCCCCCAUGUAGAAGCGGAAUUUCCUAAAACUAAGAGAGACAUCUCCAAGGCACAGAACAUCUGACUUCAAAGAUCCGGCUACAUGCCGAUCAACGGACCAAGUUACCCUAGGGAUAACAGCGCAAUCUCCUUCCAGAGUCCCUAUCGACAAGGGGGUUUACGACCUCGAUGUUGGAUCAGGACAUCCUAAUGGUGCAGCCGCUAUUAAGGGUUCGUUUG
rnacentral:rRNA from 1 species